rnacentral:rRNA from 1 species
UACGUAGGGGGCAAGCGUUGUCCGGAAUCAUUGGGCGUAAAGCGCGUGUAGGCGGCCAGAUAAGUCCGCUGUGAAAUCUCGAGGCUCAACUUCGAGCUGUCGGUGGAAACUGUCUGGCUAGAGUCCGGAAGAGGAGAAUGGAAUUCCUGGUGUAGCGGCGAAAUGCGCAGAUAUCAGGAAGAACACCCGUGGCGAAGGCGGUUCUCUGGGACGGUACUGACGCUGAGACGCGAAAGCGUGGGGAGCGAACAGG